CUCUUCUCUCCAUCUGCACAAAAUUCAUGGCUGCCCGAUUCAUUCAGCUUUGCUUCCUCGAGUCCUUGGAAGAAGAAAUUCGUGACGUGCAAAGUUAAAGUGGGUCAAAGUUGAGAACUGAGAUUGUAGGGGUGGGGUGAAAAGGCUCGGCUGUCAGAAUAAAUGCUCCUCUGGGGCAAUGAGUUGACACUUUAGGACGCGGUUGUUUCUGCGACGGCAGGAGAAUCACGUUAGCGGUUGACAGUGUGGUCAGACAAAGCUAUGAGAGAUGCCACCAUUCAACCUGAUUUCAUUUGAAAGGCUAGAAGGUUUGGGGCCCGAAGAGAUGGGGAAAAAUGUAAAAAGAAUUCAGGAUUCCCAUUAAGUUCAAGGAUCGUUAGCGUUAGAACCCAAGCAAAAUCUAAUCAAGUCAGAAGGCGGCAUGGGUGGGGGUCACAGAGGUCCGAGAAAAGAGGCAGGAUGCAUGAGUAAGGCUCUUUCCCAGGGACUCUGGCUAAGGACCUGCCCUUUGCUUAAGUUCUAGAAUCCAUGACCUGGUGACUGCAUGGCAGGGCUUAGAGGAAGAGCAGAGCUGCCAGCCGCUGUCAUCUGCCGGUGUUUUCUGGAUACUAUGCCUUACACGGCUGAGCUUUACAGAAGGAGCAGGCAGGUUUCCAUUUGGAAUUUUAACAUCACCCUAAAAGCACCAGGAUCCCGUGGCAGGAUAAAGCUGAAGUGCAUUUUGCAAGACCUCAGUCCCUGCAGGGGAGAAACUGGACCGGAAGUCGAGGUUGGAUGGAGGGAAGGAUGAAAAGGCUGUGGUGAUAGUCUGGGACAGAGGAGAUGGUGACUAGGAUGAGGGCGGGGGCAGGAGGAAUGGAGAGAGGGGAAGGACCUGAGUCUGGAGGAAGAAAGCUUAGGCUCUGAACGUUGAUUUGCUGUGGGCGUGACACAGACAGGAGUCGAGGCCGGCGCGAAGCUGCUCCCCUUGAGCAAGUGGGGUGCUGGUUCACUACAGUAACAGGAAAGAGGAAGAGGUUUGGGAGGUGAGGAGCCCCCUUCUGGAUAUGCGGGAUCUCCUGGGCGACACCCGGGAGCGGACUUGGGCCUCAGGGGAGACGCUGGCCCAGGGCUGUGGAUUCAGGCUUUCCAGCAGACACAGAAACCCCCAUAAUCAGGCACAACUCUGUUGUACUUUUGGUUUCUUGGUGACCCCCUACGACAGUGGGGCCCAUCGCCUCUGCACUCAUCUCGCAGAAAGCUAAGCUUGCCUGCAAAAGAGGGAGAGAAAAUGAGAACAGAACCAUCUCAUGCGUUCAAGCGAGUGUGCCACACCUGAUUUCCCUCGCAAGAGCGGAGACGCAAUCCAGAGUCCUGCAUUCCCCCAAGACAUCUUUAAAUUUACCCAGGAAACUGUUAAAAGUGCUCUUUGCAAUUUCCUUUCCUUAUAGAAAAAAGUGUCUGCAGCAUAUGUGUUUUAAUAGCUUAUGUUACUACAGUGCUCAAAACUUUAAACCUCUGUUCACUCCUUACCAUAAAGAGUCACUUAUUCAUAAAAUAAAAAGUGCUGAGACCCAUCGCCCUAGCACUCCCUCCAGAAUGCGGGCUUCAUGCCGGCAAGGACUUCGUGCAUCCAGUUCACUGUCAUCCUCCCAGGGCAGGAACGAGGUCUGGUACAUAAUUUGCAGAAUCGGUGAACAGGUGUCGGUUCACAGGUGGUUCCUGCCCGGGCGGCUGCGGUGGAAGCCGGAGGCAAUUAGGGGCCGAGCUUUGUGGAGAUGAGGUCAGGGAGCGAAGGGUUGCCGGCUGUGAUUUUUCCUGAGGAAAUGAUUCAGGAUAAUAUGCUGGUUCAUGGCUCCCACCGUGACCAUCGGCUCAGCAAACCCAGCCACCCCGUGAUGAAAUCUGGCUGGGGGCCAGGCCAGUGGCAUUUCAGGCUGUCCUCCUCCCCUCUGAGGAGGCGCUGCCCUCGCUUCAACCACCUGCUGAUCCAUCCCAACCACAAGUCAAGGCCCUACCUGUGCUGGGGUCUUGGGAUUUCCCCGAGAGCAGACCAGCAGGCUUUC
ensembl:lncRNA